CACUGUGAGGUGGAAUUUGAAGGAAGCAGGAUGUCACGAGGGAAAAGACCAACCUGUGGCAUGCAAACCUCUGGACUGACGAACAGGAAUCACAUACAAAGUCUGGAUAUGCGAACGAGAAUCCAUGGCAAUUUCGAAGCCAAAUGCUGCAUGGGGCAUAUCUGGAUAAAUGGGACGGGCACAUGGAGGGAAAGCUG
rnacentral:ncRNA from 1 species